rnacentral:lncRNA from 1 species
UCAACCUUGAAGGCCCAGGAACAGUCUUGUUUAAAGGCUGGCCAAGGAGGUGGGGGACAGAACCAGUGGGACCCAAAGAAUCCAGUGUGCUGGAACUUGAUGCCGAUGUCAGCCUCAAUGCUCUCACCCUGACAGCAGAAGUGGCGGCUUCUCCCUCCACCUGUGCCCGGACAGUGCCACCAGUCUAACUUCUGCCACCGUCCCUACCUGCAGCUCACCUGAGCCCAGAACCAUGCCCCCUGCACCCUCCCGACACACUCAGGUAAUGCCCCCGUUUGUGUUAUCUCUUGCUCUAUAACAAACAACCAUUUUAUUAUUUCUCAUGAUUC